rnacentral:rRNA from 1 species
CCUGAACGCUGGCGGCGUGGUUAAGACAUGCAAGUCGCACGGUGCAGCAAUGCACAGUGGCGCACGGGUGAGUAAUGUAUCGCUAACGUGCCCCGGACUCUGGGAUAGCUCUCCGAAAGGGGAGGUAAUACCAGAUGAUAUACCUGAUCCGCAUGGAUUGGGUCUCAAAGGUCCGCCGGUCUGGGAGCGGGCGAUAUCGUAUCAGCUAGUUGGUGAGGUAACGGCUCACCAAGGCGACGACGCGUAGCCGGACUGAGAGGUCGGCCGGCCACAUCGGGACUGAGACACUGCCCGGACUCCUACGGGGGCUGCAGUAACGAAUCUUCCCCAAUGCACGAAAGUGUGAGGGAGCGACGCCGCGUGGAGGAUGAAGUCCUCGG